UCAUAAAAGGUCUGGUGGGAAGGAAGCUCAAUUUAACAAAGUCAAACAACUGAAUGCCCACUAUGCACAAGGCACCGGGCUGCGCAGGACACUACCAAGCCGAGCCAUAGCCUGGCCAGGAGCAUCAAUCUUGCAAGCCAGGAAGGCUAAUGUUGUAGCUGUGACAAAGUAUCAGAUUUGACUCCAAGCUUCCUGGAAGCAAAAAUGGAAACAUGGAGAGCUGCACACUGCCCCUUACCUGAUGCCAAGGUGCCAUAUUUGAAGGUAACAUGUCCCACACCCCCUCAGGAGGAAGUGAUUAAAUCAGCCAGGAAAGCAAGCAAAUCAGAGAACAUGACCCCUGCCGGACCAGGGCAGAGCCUGCCUUUCAGGAAGAAGGUACUUGGAGCAGGUGGAGUGGCCCAGAGGCACAAUCUAGGAACCGCCAGCCACCCCCUGGGGGAGGAGGACGAGUGAGCAUCUUAAGCAGAGGAGUGACAUGCUCAGCUUGACCAUUCUGUAGCUAGUCCGAACAUCCUAGGAAAGAAGACAAAAAGAAAAGAAGAAAUGACCCAGGUCAAUCUCCUGCUGAAUCCCUCUUGGCAGCAUUUGCACUGGGAAAGAUGAUAGAGAAGCCCGAUCUGCACAACGCGUUUGCCAGGGCUGAGCUGGCACUUUAUGGUAACAAUGUUAUUCUCCCCGUUUGACAGAUGAAGAAAUGGAAGCUUGGCAAGGUUUAAAACCUUGCCCAAGCUCCCAGAGCUAGUGAUGACCAGACCAGGAGAGCGACCAGGGCUCAGUGACUUUCCACCACGGUGUGGGGCUGACAGAGAUGGGGUCUUACUAUAUUGCCCAGGCUGACCUCCA